rnacentral:rRNA from 1 species
UCCUACGGGAGGCAGCAGUGGGGAAUCUUGCGCAAUGGGCGAAAGCCUGACGCAGCGACGCCGCGUGGGGGAUGAAUGCCUUCGGGUUGUAAACCCCUUUCGGCAGGGACGAAGCGAACGUGACGGUACCUGCAGAAGAAGUCCCGGCUAACUACGUGCCAGCAGCCGCGGUAAGACGUAGGGGACGAGCGUUGUCCGGAUUUAUUGGGCGUAAAGAGCGCGUAGGCGGCUUGGUAAGUCGGAUGUGAAAUCCCGGGGCUCAACCCCGUGACUGCACCCGAAACUGCCCGGCUAGAGGUAGGUAGGGGAGAUCGGAAUUCCUGGUGUAGCGGUGAAAUGCGCAGAUAUCAGGAGGAACACCGGUGGCGAAGGCGGAUCUCUGGGCCUUACCUGACGCUCAGGCGCGAAAGCUAGGGGAGCAAACAGGAUUAGAUACCCUGGUAGUCCUAGCCGUAAACGUUGGGUGCUAGGUGUGGGCGGAUAUCGACCCCGUCCGUGCCGAAGCUAACGCAUUAAGCACCCCGCCUGGGGAGUACGGCCGCAAGGCUAAAACUCAAAGGAAUUGACGGGGGCCCGCACAAGCGGCGGAGCAUGCGGCUUAAUUCGAUGCAACGCGAAGAACCUUACCUGGGUUUGACAUGCAGGGUGAAAUCGUUGAAAGACGACGCUCUUCGGAGCCUGCACAGGUGGUGCAUGGCUGUCGUCAGCUCGUGCCGUGAGGUGUUGCCUUAAGUGGCGCAACGAGCGCAACCCCUGUCCUUAGUUGCCAGCGGGUAAUGCCGGGAACUCUAGGGAGACUGCCGGUGCCAAACCGGAGGAAGGUGGGGAUGACGUCAAGUCAUCAUGCCCCUUAUAUCCAGGGCUGCACGCAUGCUACAAUGCGCGAUACAGAGGGCUGCGAUCCCGCAAGGGGGAGCGAAUCCCAAAAAGUCGCGCUCAGUUCGGAUCGAGGUCUGCAACCCGACCUCGUGAAGUCGGAGUCGCUAGUAAUCGCAGAUCAGCAAUGCUGCGGUGAAUACGUUCCCGGGCCUUGUACACACCCC